AAUCACAGAAUUGUUAACGUUGGAAGGGACCUCUGGAGAUCAUCCAGUCCAACCCCUCUGCCAAGGCAGGGUUGCCUGGAGCAGAUGACACAGGAACGUGUCCUGCGUUGUGGCAAUCCAUC